rnacentral:lncRNA from 1 species
CAUUCACCAGUCAGUGAUGCCUUCUGCCCAGUGCCAACUCAACGUAAAGAUCUGGGGAUAUAGAGAUGGCUGUGCUGGGGUCCCCAACCUCAUUAAGCACAAUGACCCCAAGUGCUAACAUCAUGGAGCACCCACCACACACUGGAUAAUAACAGCAAGCACAUGGAUGUGAUCUCCACCUCAUACCAAGAACGCCAGGAUCGUGGUGGUGCAGCUGGGAACUGCCCCUUGGACAGCUGCCAGGGAAAUGUGAUCGCUGAGCUGGAGUGACCUGCCCCUGCCCAGCCCCCUAUUGGGUUUCAGUCAAGUUUCUUCCAAGAAAUUCGGACGGACCAACUCCCCUCCAAGUAUUUGACAAUAUUUCCCAAGAACAUCACCAGCAGAUAUUUCUAGGUAGGAAGUCUUUGUUAAUAGGGGGUAUGACCAUGAUCACAAUAUAUCCUGCACAUGUGUGAAAAUGUCAUAAGGAAAUUUACUGUUAUGUACAAUUGAUAUAUACUACUAAAACAAAAAAGCUCUUCAAGAAUAAAUAUAACAUUUUGAAUAGUAAAAACA